AUUUAUAAAAUAUAAUAAAUUGUAUAUUUAACUUCCAAUUAAAAAGACUGAAAUCAUUCAGUAUAAAUA
rnacentral:tRNA from 1 species